CACGUAGGGUGCGAGCGUUGUCCGGAAUUAUUGGGCGUAAAGAGCUCGUAGGCGGUGUGUCGCGUCGGCCGUGAAAACUUGCAGCUUAACUGUGGGCGUGCGGUCGAUACGGGCAUCACUGGAGUUCGGCAGGGGAGACUGGAAUUCCUGGUGUAGCGGUGAAAUGCGCAGAUAUCAGGAGGAACACCGGUGGCGAAGGCGGGUCUCUGGGCCGAUACUGACGCUCAGGUGCGAAAGCUAGGGGGAGCGAACAGG
rnacentral:rRNA from 1 species